rnacentral:snoRNA from 1 species
GGAUCAGUGCUGCCUCCCAUCUGUGCAUGCCUUGGAAAGCUGAACCACCCGAGUGAAAAAGCUCUACUGAGAACAUGCUUUCAUUUUC